AAGACGCUACAGGCGUCCCUGAAGUUUGAUCAUUUCCAAUGCCUGUAACUACAAUGGUUCUCCCACACCUGGAAGCUAAUGAGUAAUGAGCACUAUUAAGGCCUAUUUCAAAUGUAAAAAAAACCUUGAGAUAAUGUACUAAAUUGUUCAGAAGGUUGUUUUCUUAGUGCCUGCUGGAAUACUACAGGAUUUUCUUUAGCCAUCCAGAGUUCCUGCUUCAUGCCAGUGCUGGUGAGGACGAGGGUGGAAGAAUUUCCAGUGUUGCUGAGAAUCGGACGAGACUUCGGAUUAAGCUAGCUGCCUACAGAACUUACCUGAAAUGUGAUUUAAGAUAGCUGCCUGCAGAAAUUACCUGGACUGUGAUUUACCUGGACUGUGAGUUAAUCUAUUGAGACACUGCUUUACCUGGACUGAGACAACAAACUGUAAUCUACAACAAAUUGUAACUCGGUAUCUUUGCUAACGGUGUCAUUGCUGGUAUAAUUUUUCCAAGGGCUUCUUGCAUGGAGCCAUCAACUGGCUUGGUAUUGUGGCAUUUUGUAUCCUCCCUUUCUGCUUGUAGCAGAUUAUUUAUGGUGUUUGUGUAAAAAC
rnacentral:lncRNA from 1 species